ACUUAAAUAAUUUAAAUAAAAAUAUUGAUUUGUGGUGUCAAAAAUGUGGAUUAAUGGUCAUUUUAAGUU
rnacentral:tRNA from 1 species